AAAAUAAAAUAAAAUAAAUAUUUCUCAACUCUGGGGGAAAAUUUUCUCUGAACAUCUUCUGAACAUCUCAGUUUAAAUGACUUUUCAAGGCUCUGGCCUUGUUGCAGCUCCAGAGCGUCCAGAUUCUCAUUGAGACGUGCUUCUCGAUCAUCUGAGGAGUCUUGGAGUACGAGCAGAAGAAGAGUUUAUUGUUGUCUCUUCUUCGAGUGGAUUUACAUACGAGACAUUUUCAUUUAUUAAUAUAGUUCACACAGGUCUGGUACAUAUUUAUCAAUUUAAGUAUUAAGAUGUUUUGUUUCUAUGUUCAUUAUGUUUGAACUGAACUAACAGACAAGAUCACAGAUCCAGCAGAAACUGAAGUCUGUAUUUCUGCUGGAUCAUUAUUCAGAGAGAUUUUGAUCAUUCUUAAGACUGCAGUGUUUGCUGCUCCUACUGUGAUUCUUCUUCAGAUCAUCUGUGCAAGAAGAGCUGAGAGGAAGGACUCGCAGCAGCCAGAGGAAAUAGAGAUUAAUACAAUAAUAGAAUAAAAUACUCUACAAAUAACAGGCCAGAUUACAGCAAGAUUUAUCUUCAUCUCUAUGAAUUUAUGGAUAUUUGCAUACAGUUUUGAAGGAUAUUUUCCAGUGCACCAUACUGUACUGAAUACAUAAAAUAUAAUAUUAAAUACUUACUUAUGAAAAUUAUAUGAGUGAUUGUCUUUCCACCUACAUCAUGCUGCAACAUGUUUUUAUGUCAGACGUGCAUAAAUAAUCAUUCACAAUGUGCUCUUCAGAUAUUUCCUGAAUACUUAUUUGAGUCUUUUUCAGUCAAAAAGUGUCAAAGUA